AUUGAACGCUAGCGGGAUGCUUUACACAUGCAAGUCGAACGAGUGGCGGACGGGUGAGUAAUGUCUGGGAACCUGCCUGAUGGAGGGGGAUAACUACUGGAAACGGUAGCUAAUACCGCAUACCAUCGGAUGUGCCCAGAUGGGAUUAGCUAGUAGGUGGGGUAAAGGCUCACCUAGGCGACGAUCCCUAGCUGGUCUGAGAGGAUGACCAGCCACACUGGAACUGAGACACGGUCCAGACUCCUACGGGAGGCAGCAGUGGGGAAUAUUGCACAAUGGGCGCAAGCCUGAUGCAGCCAUGCCGCGUGUAUGAAGAAGGUCUUCGGGUUGUAAAGUACUUUCAGCAGGGAGGCGUUACCCGCAGAAGAAGCACCGGCUAACUCCGUGCCAGCCGCCGCGGUAAUAC
rnacentral:rRNA from 1 species